GCCAAUUUCGCGGAAAGAAAAGCCAGCACGAAUACGUGGCUCUGGCUCGCUGUCAUUAUAAAAAACUUACGCGUAGUCUCCAAUAAUUCAUUUUUAUUUUAGCUUGACAGAGUAGAUAAAGAAGAACAAAUUUUCAAGCUGCAUAGAAACUACUUUCAAAGGCAGGAAAGAAGAAAAAGAAUCCAAGAAAGAACAUGUGUGACAGUGAUUGUAGACCUUUGGGCUUUCUGUUAGGCCUUCCUUUUGCUUUUCUCGCUCUCCUUAUCUCCAUUGUUGGGGUCGUUGUUUGGAUCGUCGGGUUCGUGUUCUCUCUAUCUAAGUUUUAAUUUUUAUUCCAUCAAGUUCUGGGUAUUUGAUAUUUCUUUAUUUCUUUGACAUUCUUGCUAUUAUAGACGAGUUCUUAAUGUAUUUCAGCUUCUGGGUUUUUCAGAUUUCUUGAUUUUCUAUUGGUUUGUUACUUCUGAUACGAUAUGUGAUCUGGGAUUCUUGGUUGGCUUUAGUUUGUGGGUAAUUAAUGUGAUGUUAUCAGUUUGGAUCUCUGACUGGGAAUUCUAAUCUUAUCUAUUGUACAGGUUGUUGUUGACAUGUAUAUGCCCUUGUUGUUUGUGCGUGACCAUAAUAGUGGAGCUGGCUCUGGAGUUGAUCAAGGCCCCUAUCCAUGUCAUGGAGUGGUUCACUUCUCAGAUACCUUGUUAAUUGGGGAUUCUUAACACAGAUAGUGAUUGGGAUUUAGAUUUGGGAUUGCUUUGUUUUUAUAUUUUGUAUGUUCUUUGUUGAUUAUUGUAGGGAAAUUUGUGUUAUGAUUCAUGAGUAUACAUAUAUAGACGUGGGAUAUUCCUCUGGUUUCUGGCUUUUAUGAAUCUUUGUGAAUCUGAGUUUUAGGACUUUGUCUGAUGAUAAUUUAGCUUUCCAUUAGAAAGGUGAAAGGUGAAAAAGAUAAAAUGUAAAAGAAGGUGGCAACAGAAGGAUGAGAAUUGAAAUUCCUCAAUUAUUACCCAUCAAAUAAUGGCUUUUGGAUUUUCA
rnacentral:misc_RNA from 1 species